rnacentral:pre_miRNA from 1 species
UGGAAGACUAGUGAUUUUAUUGUUUAUGAAAUCUGCCAACAAUAAAUCACACUCUUCUCACA